rnacentral:rRNA from 1 species
GACGAACGCUGGCGGCGUGCCUAAUACAUGCAAGUAGAACGCACAGUUUAUACCGUAGCUUGCUACACCAUAGACUGUGAGUUGCGAACGGGUGAGUAACGCGUAGGUAACCUGCCUGGUAGCGGGGGAUAACUAUUGGAAACGAUAGCUAAUACCACAUAAUAUUGAUUAUUGCAUGAUAAUUGAUUGAAAGAUGCUAUUGCAUCACUACCAGAUGGACCUGCGUUGUAUUAGCUAGUAGGUGAGGUAACGGCUCACCUAGGCGACGAUACAUAGCCGACCUGAGAGGGUGAUCGGCCACACUGGGACUGAGACACGGCCCAGACUCCUACGGGAGGCAGCAGUAGGGAAUCUUCGGCAAUGGACGAAAGUCUGACCGAGCAACGCCGCGUGAGUGAAGAAGGGUUUCGGAUCGUAAAGCUCUGUUGUAAGAGAAGAACGGGUGUGAGAGUGGAAAGUUCACACUGUGACGGUAUCUUACCAGAAAGGGACGGCUAACUACGUG